rnacentral:tRNA from 1 species
GCUGGUGUGGCUCAGUGGGUAGAGUGUUGGCCUGUGGGCCCAAGGGUCCCAGGUUCGAUUCCGGUCAAGGGCA